rnacentral:rRNA from 1 species
CAGUAGCCGCGGGAAUACGAAGGGUGCAAGCGUUAAUCGGAAUUACUGGGCGUAAAGCGUGCGUAGGUGGUGGUUUAAGUCCGUUGUGAAAGCCCUGGGCUCAACCUGGGAAUUGCAGUGGAUACUGGGUCACUAGAGUGUGGUAGAGGAUAGUGGAAUUUCCGGUGUAGCAGUGAAAUGCGUGGAGAUCGGAAGGAACAUCUGUGGCGAAGGCGACUAUCUGGGCCAACACUGACACUGAGGCACGAAAGCGUGGGGAGCAAACAGGAUUAGAUACCCCGGUAGUCCCUGUCUCUUAUAA